UACGAGGGGUGCAAACGUUAUUCGGAAUCACUGGGCGUAAAGGGUGUGUAGACGGUAUGAUAAGUCGAUUAUAAAAUCUUCUAGCUCAACUAGAAGUCCGUAAUCGAAACUAUCAAACUAGAGGAUGGAAGAGAGAAGUGGAAUUCUCGGAGUAGCGGUAAAAUGCGUAGAUCUCGAGAGGAACACCGAUGGCGAAAGCAGCUUCUUGGUCCAUAUCUGACGUUGAAACACGAAAGCGUGGGGAGCAAACAGGAUUAGAAACCCCAGUAGUCC
rnacentral:rRNA from 1 species